AGCAGCCGCGGUAAUUCCAGCUCCAAUAGCGUAUAUUAAAGUUGUUGCAGUUAAAAAGCUCGUAGUUGAACUUCGGGGUCUACCCAUUGGUCAGGCUUAAUUGUCUGCACUGGUGAGAUGGAUCUCUACCUUCUGAGGAACUUUCAUGCCAUUUAUUUGGUGUGAUGGGAAAUCAGGACUGUUACUUUGAAAAAAUUAGGGUGUUUAAAGCAGACUAUCGUCUGAAUACAUUAGCAUGGAAUAAUGAAAUAGGACGGACUGAUUCUAUUUCGUCGGUUUCUAGGAUCACCGUAAUGAUUAAUAGGGAUAGUUGGGGGCAUUAGUAUUCAAUUGUCAGAGGUGAAAUUCUUGGAUUUAUUGAAGUACUAACUACUGCGAAAGCAUUUGCCAAGGAUGUUUUCAUUAAUCAAGAACGAAAGUUAGGGGAUCGAAGACGAUCAGAUACCCGUCGUAGUCUUAAACCAUAAACUAUGCCGACUAGGGAUCGGAACGAAGUUAAUUUUAUAAUGACGCGUUC
rnacentral:rRNA from 1 species